UUAAACCGGCAAACCCCCCAAGUCUCUUUCUUCUCUGUCUGCCUCUGUAAUCGUGCUAUUCAACCAAAACCCCACUCACUCUCACUCUCUCUUCUUUAAACCCACAACGCCACCUUUACUCACAUUUCCCCCCUUUCUCUUUGCUCUGAAAACACUAGGGUGUUUCCUCAUGAAUCCUCCAACUCAGUCCCAGCCAUACCUUGCCCAUGGCCUGCACUAUCACUCCUCUGAACCUUCCUCUGCUCAAAGGAGUGAUAGGUUCAGAGAAGGUAAUGCUGCUCCAGCGAAUUGCUCCCUUCCAAUACUGUACAUGAUAGAUGAUUGAAUCUCUCUAAGGUACUGUGGGUUUAUGUAUUGGAAAUUGGAAUACAUAAGGUUUGAAAUGGGGAAUGAAGCCAUUGGUCCGUGUAGCAUAGUUAAUAUUUAGAAAUGUCGUAGCUAUGACAAUUUUUGUAAAUCACCUAUUAUUUUGACAUUUUUUAUGGAUAAUAGAUUUUGUGCUGCAACUUCAA